CCGGAUUAUCUGGAAGAAACCCCUGAAGCACGGGGAGAACAUGCAAACUGUGCACACAGGGCAGAGGUGGGAUUCGAACUCCCAACCCCGGAGGUGUAAGGCAAACGUGCUAAUCACUAAGCCACCACGCCCCAGUUAGUUUACUCUCAUUCUUAAUUUGUAUGUUAAGAUAAAAAUUUCAUGACAGCCGGUAUUAACUAAUUGGAGUUGAGACAGGUUGAGAGUGAUUCGUUCCCUCUCACAAUUUGGUCAAUUUGGAAUGCCCGUUCCCUCCCAUCAGCCACUUCUGCACUGUCAUACAACACCUACCAAGAAGGGUGGGUGAAGGCUAACAGGUGCUUCCUCUGAGACAAGUCAAGCUAGCCAACCACAUCUUUCGGAUCUGCUGCUUAACAAACUCAUGUAUAAGAGCUCACAAAUGCCAACCAUUGGCAGGACAGAGAGUAGGACAUCCUUCUCUGGACAAUUUUGUUCUCUUCGUUCCCGGGCCACGGAUGAACGUGACAUCGUCUGGAUUCGCUCUCAUGAUCUUCUGACAAUAGCAUGAACGCUUUUCUGUGACAGUUUUAUCUAACGUAAUAACCCUACCAGGUUCAUGCCAAACUUUUUUUUGAUAGGUUGGCUGGAGAACUAAAUAUACAUUUUGAGUUUUAUUCUCUACAUGGCGAGCUAGAGUUAGUUAGGAGGCUAACAGCCGAUGAAUGGAGCACUCUAUGAAAUAGUAUGUCACUGUUAGGGCUGGGCGAUAUGACAAUAUAAUAUCUAGUGUAUAUCUAAUAUACUCUUUUUCUGAGAUUUUUUUUUUCUGUGACAUCUUUUUCUAACAUUUUUAGAAGCAGCUGAUGUAAUGUUCACAUUUUACUCUGAACCUUUAAAAUUGUCGUGAUGAGAUAUUUUUGUCAUUUUGCCCACCCAUAGUCACUACAACACUGACGUUUAUAUGUAGACAUACUACUUAGUGUAUGUUGUGUGGUUUGUUUGGGAAACAGCAGAAUUAUCUACUUCAGUUGAAGGGGAAUUUGAAUUAGUCAGUUAUGACACGUUGUUGAAAUCAACGCUACAUUUACCCAUCUGUUUAUGCAUUGUACCUUAUCAUGCAUCUCAUAGUGGUUAAACUUCUGCUUAAGCUUCUUUCUCAAUCCUGACUUAAAGACGUUUAUCCCAUUUCAACUCUCAAAAUCCGUCCAGAUCUACAUUCCACACCCUUCUUAACUACAAACCUCUCCUGUGAGUUUCACUGCAAUUAUGAAUAAUUCAGAGUAAUGACUGUAUCAUAUGCUUUAAGAUGAAUAAACAGAUAACGAGCGAAUGCUUUAAGGACUUAAAAAGCCCAUCUUUCCUCUUGCUGUCACUUUUCUCAUGCUGAAAUUCGAUCAGCGGGUCACAGAAAGGUCAGGUUGAGGCUCGAUUUAGCCAGCCAUGUGAAAAUCAUUUGUCUCGUUUUAGUCACAGGACAAGAAAGACAGCUCCUGUAAGCAGACCAAAAAAAGUGGAAUAGCAAGAUCGAGUCACAUCAGGAGUGUACAGAGAAUCCGGAAAUUACUUGCUGCAUUUCUAUAAGGAUCAGAAAGCAGAAGUAGUGAAGACCUUAUUAUUGCAUCAUUAAACACAAGAGCCAAUCAGAUUCCACUAUGCAAAUUUAUCAUGUAAUUACACUAGUUUACAAGAAGAAGAGGUUAUGGGGCAUUUCCAAUUUGCAUAUUCGUAGCAGAUCUUGAUCAGAGUAGAGGCAGGUUAUUAUUCAAAUAAUUAUAAAGUUACUAUCGUUUCUAUAGUAAAAAAAAAUUACACGGGCCCUUGUAUGGUGGACACACCACAUAAUAUAAAAACAUGUGAUUUUGCAAAGAAAUACAUUUCUUUUUCCGCCACAGGAAACAGACUUACUGAGAAGCACUUUCUGGUUUCACUGUAAAAUGACAAGUUGAAUGACAAGGGAAAAGGGGGGGGAAAAAACGGCUGGUGAGGGAACCAAUGUGUAUAGGUAUAACAGGAACUUGAUUGGGAUUUUCCAGGACAUCUUUCGAAUUUCUCCUUCACUCUGUGUACGCAAAGUUUACAUGUUCUCCCUGUGCCUUGGGGGUUUCCUCUACGUUCUCCGGUUUCCUCCCCCAGUCCAAAGACAUGCAUUGUAGGCUGACUGGCAUUUCCAAUAGUGAAUGAAUAUGUGUGCGAUAGGGUGUGCGACCCUGUGUAUGAGCAGUACAGAAAAUGCUGGAUGGAAGUCCUUAUGUGAGAUGCUAAACGACACAGUCUGACCAAGACGUUUAUAUGUUUUGAACAGUUACAGUAGUAUCAUGAUUUGUCGUGAUUCUAGCUACGACACACCCAUAACAUAUUCCCAAACCCUCAAUAUGUACUUCAAUUGAGGUAUUAUUACUCAUAAACAAAACUCUUUACCACCAUUGUUUUUCAAUAAAAAUCUAGUCUAGUAAAGCUUGCAUUGUCAUGCAACGAGUGCAAUGAGCACUCAAUGGGCUUUCAGUGAAUGAGCAGUUGUUAUUGAGUUACUGCAGCAGUCCUCAGACAGAUAGGUGGAGAUUGAAUUUUAUUACAGUGAGUUUAGUGUCUGUCUCUCUGCCACAGAGUCUUUUAUAAAAUACUGCACACGAUGCAAGACGGCUCGCUCCAGACACUGUCAGUGAGUUCGCUCCAGCCAUCACCCGUGGAUUCCAGGAUCGAGUUCAGGGUUCGAGUGACUUUAGUGUCAUGUAAUUAUUUAAUUAUUUGUUUUUGCAUUGUGUAGCUAGAGCUGAGGAGCUCCAGCGUCACUGUCAGCCAUAUGAGACUAUACAGGAGAUAACGGACAACACAAGCUCCUUUCUUUGCACGAUGGUAUCUUGGUAUCAAUCCACUCUGCCCUUUAACGAGACUGAAAUAUGAAAGUGACUUUUGUUCCUAUAUUGGAGAAAAAAAAAAAAAAAGCCAUUGCAUGUGCACCUCAUGCCUCUGUGUGAAACAUUUUUUCCCUCAAUUCUUGUUCAGGAGGUAAUUAA
ensembl:lncRNA